AACGAACGCUGGCGGCAUGCCUUACACAUGCAAGUCGAACGCGAAAGUGUCUUCGGACAUUAGUAGAGUGGCAAACGGGUGAGUAACGCGUGGGAAACUACCUUAUAGUACGGAAUAGCCUCGGGAAACUGGGAUUAAUACCGCAUACGCCCUUCGGAGGAAAGAUUUAUCGCUAUAAGAUGUGCCCGCGUCAGAUUAGCUAGUUGGUGGGGUAAUAGCCUACCAAGGCAACGAUCUGUAGCUGGUCUGAGAGGACGAUCAGCCACACUGGGACUGAGACACGGCCCAGACUCCUACGGGAGGCAGCAGUGGGGAAUAUUGGACAAUGGACGAAAGUCUGAUCCAGCAAUGCCGCGUGAAUGAUGAAGGCCUUAGGGUUGUAAAGUUCUUUUAGUGGGGAAGAUAAUGACGGUACCCACAGAAAAAGCACCGGCUAACUUCGUGCCAGCCGCCGCGGUAA
rnacentral:rRNA from 1 species